AGAGAAAUGGAAUAGCAGGUAAUAGUUUUGCUACUUCAAAUAUGGCAUCUUAUUCCCAUAAGGAUGGGAAAGAUAAAGUCUAUGUUUGUUGGGGAAGAUUAGGCGCAUCCGGGUACGUUGUAGGGCCAAUCGCAUUCUAGUCAAAAUCAAAUUAAAACAUAUAAAAAUUGUUUUGAAGACUAAGAAAUUUAACUUACGGCUGAUGUUAGAGUUGAAUGCCAGGCUAGCUGGGCAGUAGUAAGUGACAAUCUUUCCGUUAACACAUCUGUAAUAUUUGCUGCAGUUGGCUGGGUCUGCAUAGAAUGUUCCUUCGCUUGUACAGGCCACUUCAAAGUAAAACAUUAUAAUGGAAAUCUAAAUCCAAAAGUCAUAUGCUCCAGGAAGUUAUUUACUAGCUUUUGUCGUCGUAAUCGGAUACGGUGUUGGGGUUGGAGCUGGCGUUGACGUAUUAAAAGGUCGUCCUUCUAACGUUGCAGUAAUGGCCUUUGAAAAUGGUCUGCAAAACAAAGCAAAUACGUUUUUUGGCACACCUAACAUCAGUUUAACUAUACCAUAACGUACCGUGGUCCCAUAUUACAGAACCCGUUAAAGUCAUCCAAGGUGAGUUCCCAGAACAUAAUGCCUCCGAGACCCUUAUUCAUAGCGUAUUUCACCUUAGUGAUAGUCAUGUCAAUGUCAUCCCAUGAAACCCAUGUUGUACCACUGUAGGCAUAAGGACCCAUUUUGCCAGUUGCAUCGGUAACCACUGUCCAUCCGCUCUGUUGAUUCAAGCACACUUCGUACAGAGAAAGGAAUCCAUCUUGUCCAGUAUACGGUCCAAGAGGACCAGCACCGAUAGCCGGAGACAAGAGAGCCGUUUGUGUUGCAUCAGCCAACCUGUAACUUCGACCGUAGCUGGGCAAUCCGAAGAUCAACUUCUGAGCAGGCAUGCCUUGCGCUAACCAAUAGUCGAGUGACUCAGAUAUAAUAACCGCCUCUUUUCCUUCUUCAAAGCUACGUCGGAAAAGGGGUGCGUGAUGAUCUACUUGGUUUUCCCAAGCCCCAUGUAUGUCUAUGAAGGAAAAGAACAGCCUUCUUUGUGGUGCAUUUCUAAUGGUAUUUAUGCAAGAUCUUAUUAUUACCGUAUGCCAUGAAAUUGACAAAAUCUACUGUGGCGGCUAGCCCUGGAAUAUCAUAGCUGACUUCAGCUCGUUGGAUACUGCAAGAUGGUGCCAUGGUUAACAGUAAGUUGUAUGGUUUGAAAGCAUCCCGAAGCAUAGCGAGGAGUGUAAUAAAGUUCUGUUUGUCUUCAGGUUUUCCCGGAUCUCCAGGAUACUCCCAGUCGAAAUCAAGACCAUCAAAGUUAUACUGAACGGGCAGUUUAACGUUAACGAGUACUUCAAUAUUGCGUAAGUUAUUUUUUUUUUACCUGACGAACAAAAGCAAGAGCUUUUGUUACAAAAUUUCUCAUCUUCACUGGAUCAGAAACUAAUUCUGAAUAUUGAGUAGUAAAUGCCGAGUCAUUCCAGCCACCAAGCGCAAUCAGUGUUUUAAGGUUAGGAUUUCGUUGUUUUAAGGCCGUGAAUUUUUGGUAACCACCAAGAUCAAUGUCUACGUAGGAAUCGUAGACGACCAUUUCGUAGGUCACCUUGUCAAGAACAGCAAACGCAUAGAUCAUGUGCGUGCAUUCAAACGGAUCUAACUUAUCCACGCCGUACUGUCCAGCCCCUAGUUUAAAUGUUAUUGUACGACGUUAAUCACAUCAAUAGGAUCAAGGAUCUCCCGUACACUUACCUGCGCGGUAAUAGGGCCAGUUAGCAAAGUAACAAACUUUUUUGUAGUUCCCCUGUGCGUUCACCAAGGUAACUAUUAAGGUAAGCGCCAAUAAGGCGACGAUUUUCAUCUUUUCAAGUUUUACUCGUUAAAAAAAUGCAAGAAGUUGCCAAGCAAGACCUUUUCUUGACUAAACUGAAAUUGCUCUAAUUUUUAACGGACCGAACAGCUUUAUAGGCAUGCACAGAGGUGGGACUACAACGUGAAGAUUAUAAACAGAGCAGUUCGAUGAAGAAACAUGUUCUUAGUGGUAAUCCUGUUGAGCUGAUAAUGCAUAUGCGUUACAUUUUACGAUCUCACAGAGUUGAUUUCUUUCAGCUGUAUAUCACUUCACUCCUGAUAAUGUUCAGGUACCUGAAUACUAUUGUAAUGGCAUGUUUCUGACUUCACAAAUAUUUGAGUAUAAUGCCUUGC